GAGUUUGAUCGUGGCUCAGAAUGAACGCUGGCGGCAUGCCUAACACAUGCAAGUCGAACGAAGGCUUCGGCCUUAGUGGCGCACGGUGCGUAACGCGUGGGAAUCUGCCCUUGGGUUCGGAAUAACAGUUAGAAAUGACUGCUAAUACCGGAUGAUGUCGUAAGACCAAAGAUUUAUCGCCCAAGGAUGAGCCCGCGUAGGAUUAGCUAGUUGGUGGGUAAAGGCCCACCAAGGCGACGAUCCUUAGCUGGUCUGAGAGGAUGAUCAGCCACACUGGGACUGAGACACGGCCCAGACUCCUACGGGAGGCAGCAGUGGGGAAUAUUGGACAAUGGGCGAAAGCCUGAUCCAGCAAUGCCGCGUGAGUGAUGAAGGCCUUAGGGUUGUAAAGCUCUUUUACCCGGGAUGAUAAUGACAGUACCGGGAGAAUAAAGCUCCGGCUAACUUCGUGCCAGCCGCGCCGU
rnacentral:rRNA from 1 species